rnacentral:rRNA from 1 species
AGGAUUAACGCUGGCGGCGUACAUGAAACAUGCAAGUCGAGCGCGGCGCGUGGCUUCGGUCACGCGUCUAGCGGCGCACGGGUGAGUAACACGUGAGCAACCUACCUUCGAGUUCGGGAUAGCCCUGGGAAACCAGGAUUAAUACCGGAUGUGGUCACAACGGGACAUCCCGAUGUGAAAAAAGGCGCAAGCCGCUCGAUGACGGGCUCGCGGCCUAUUAGCUUGUUGGUGGGGUAACGGCCUACCAAGGCGACGAUGGGUAGC